UACGGAGGGUGCAAACGUUGCUCGGAAUCAUUGGGCGUAAAGCGCACGUAGGUGGCCUGUUAAGUCGGGUGUGAAAUCCCUGGGCUCAACCCAGGAAGUGCACUCGAAACUGGCAGGCUUGAGUACUGAAGAGGGUCGCGGAAUUCCCCGGUGUAGAGGUGAAAUUCGUAGAUAUCGGGAGGAACACCAGUGGCGAAGGCGGC
rnacentral:rRNA from 1 species